rnacentral:rRNA from 1 species
CACACCGCCCGUCACGCCAUGGAAGCUGUGAGCGCCCGAAGUCCGUGUCGGAACCCGCAAGGGACCAAGCGGCCGAAGGCGAGCGCGGUGACUGGGGCGAAGUCGUAACAAGGUACCC